rnacentral:rRNA from 1 species
GACGAACGCUGGCGGCGUGCUUAACACAUGCAAGUCGAACGGAAAGGCCCUGCUUUUGUGGGGUGCUCGAGUGGCGAACGGGUGAGUAACACGUGAGUAACCUGCCCUUGACUUUGGGAUAACUUCAGGAAACUGGGGCUAAUACCGGAUAGGAGCUCCUGCUGCAUGGUGGGGGUUGGAAAGUUUCGGCGGUUGGGGAUGGACUCGCGGCUUAUCAGCUUGUUGGUGGGGUAGUGGCUUACCAAGGCUUUGACGGGAAGCCGGCCUGAGAGGGUGACCGGCCACAUUGGGACUGAGAUACGGCCCAGACGCCUACGGGAGGCAGCAGUGGGGAAUAUUGCACAAUGGGCGGAAGCCUGAUGCAGCAACGCCGCGUGCGGGAUGACGGCCUUCGGGUUGUAAACCGCUUUCGCCUGUGACGAAGCGUGAGUGACGGUAAUGGGUAAAGAAGCACCGGCUAACUACGUG